rnacentral:lncRNA from 1 species
AGAAUUCGUCAGUGAAGCCAUCAGGACCCAGGCUUUUCUUAGUUGGUUUUCAAUAUCUGCUUUGCUGAAACAUGUACAGGCUUUGGGAUUUGUGUCUCAGCUCAGGUGAGAAGAAUCCUGACACUGGCAGGUGACAUGGUGAAGAAAAGAAAGAAAAACCUGACAGAGGUACCAAGCUAGGGGAUGAAGAUAUAGAAGAAAGAAGUACAUACAGUUUCUGCUCUCAGGAAGCUUUUAAUCUAAGAGGGGAUCAAUCAUAAUAUAGUCUAAUUGCUGUGAUAGGGAAGGAAAAAUACCACAGGAGAGCAAGAUAUGGAGAAAGGAGGAUGGUGUUUAGGUGGAAAUGGAAAAAAAAAGCCCAAGUGGGAAUCAGCCAGGUGAAGAAACAGG